rnacentral:SRP_RNA from 1 species
CCGUACUAGGUGGGGAGAUAGCGGUGCCCUGUACUCGCAAUCCGCUACAGCGAGGCUUAAUUCCUGAUUGAGGACUGUAUGGUUUGAUGAAUGGAGCCAGUAAGUGGUGUUGAGAAAUGGAUCCUGUGCAACAUGAGGCCACGAACCCUGUCAGGUCCUGACGGAAGCAGCAGUAAGAGGUUUUACGUGUGUGCCAUAGACCAAUCUGUUUUGAGCUAACUGCUGGAGUUCCUGUUGGGCUGUCUUUUCGAGAAAAGGUGUACG